GACGAAGGGGGCAAGCGUUGUUCGGAAUUACUGGGCGUAAAGAGCGUGUAGGCGGUCCGGUAAGUCCGCUGUGAAAGUCGGGGGCUCAACCCUCGAAUGCCGGUGGAUACUGUCGGGCUAGAGUACGGAAGAGGCGAGUGGAAUUCCUGGUGUAGCGGUGAAAUGCGCAGAUAUCAGGAGGAACACCUAUUGCGAAGGCAGCUCGCUGGGACGUAACUGACGCUGAGACGCGAAAGCGUGGGGAGCAAACAGG
rnacentral:rRNA from 1 species